AAAAAGAUAAGCUAAGCAAGCUACUGGGUUCAUACCCCAUUUAUAGAGGAAAACCCUCUUCUUUUUA
rnacentral:tRNA from 1 species